rnacentral:lncRNA from 1 species
GAGCUCCUGAGCUCUCAGGUAAAGAGUAGGUUUGAGACCUGUUGUCUCUAGUGAGAUGUGAAGAUGCUGGUGUGGGAAAGAACUCAUUGGUGAGGGACUAGUAAGGAUUAGUGAUAAAGGUAGUGCCUCAGAUGUGGAGAAGUGAUCACCAGUUGGGAACAGUGUCUGCAGGCUGUACAGGUGAGGUACAGGUAUCCACAGUGUGGUACAUGUGUAGUGUGUAUUUCAGGUGUGUUACAGGUAUCUGAAAAAUGGCACUGGUGUGGUGUUGGUGUGGUACAGCCAUGUGUACAAGUGAGAUAUGGGUAUCUGCAGUAUGGUGCAGGUCUGGUGUCUGGUCAGGUGUGUUCAAGCUAUGCUUUGGAAACAGCGGGGAGCUGCUGAACCGGUUUGGGGUGGUUCAUUAAUAGAAGAUCAUGAAUGCCUGACAUGAAUGUCUGUCUUGGUAUAAGACACAGAUAGGGGAACUCCCUUUGUGUGUGUGUGUGUGUGUGUGUGUGUGUGUGUUGCUGUUUUCUGUCCCAUGUUGAGAUCUCUGACGCAAGACAGGUGUGUCUUUCCCCCUCUCUGCACAAUGAUAGGUGUGGUACCUGAACGCUCCAGUCAACCUGAAGCAGGGCGCACAUUGUCUCACUGAACGCGAUCACCUGCAGGUCCACUUUACUUCACUUUACUCCAUUUUACCUCGCGCUGUACUCCACUUCGGACAAGUCUGACCCGCUUUCGCACCCGAGGACAGAGGCUGGAUCCAUCGCAAGGAUUCCUGGAGACGGAUCGGACCGGGCGCGCCCCCCAUGGGAGUCACAUGCCGCAUCGGGAGAGGGUCUCCUCGGGAGCGCGCAAUGGAGCUCGCAGCGCGACCCCGCGCGCUGCCCCCAGAAUGGUGUCCUUUCCUGGCCAGGAUCUCAAGAGCAAAGGACACAACCUACUGCAGAGCAAAGUCUUCCUGUGUCUCUCUAUCCUUCUCUGCCAUGAAGCCAUAGUGACAGAGGCUGCUUAUCUGGGGGGAAUGAAGGCUGUGUUUCCUAAUGACUGCGGUGACCACUGGACCCUACGAGAGCAGGGGACCCUGGCAAAGCUGGCCAAGAUGACCGUGUGCGUGGAUGUGCGCGUCCUCUUUCCAGGCACAUGGAUAGCCUUCUCCUACAGAAGCCCCCACAGUCCACAAUCAGAACUGACCCUGCAAGGUGACGGAAGGAUUCUGUUAGUGAUGCUGGGCUGGCAGAGAUACCGCUUCUAUGUGCCCCUGGCCCUCAACCAGUGGCAUCGCGUGUGUUUAUCCCUCAACGCACCCAAAUCCUUCCUCACCCUGAGGGUGAACAACGUCAACUACUGGCAGAGUAUCGGCACAGCAGUCUCACCCACCUCAUCAAGCGGGGAAUUAAGGCUGGGUUGCCAGCGCCCAUCUGAGAGUGUGGCAAAAGUGGAGCUUUACCUCCUUCGUGUUUGGGAUAAUGUCCUUCGCCAUAGCAACUGUGAGGAUGGCAAUGUGGUUGGUUGGAACUCAGAGCAGUGGGAGUACCACGCCAGCACAGUGAUGGAAGAUUCAACACUUCCAUGUGGUCAUCAUCGUAUCAAACGUGACGACAAAAAUGGCCAAAGCCCCUUCUCGUCAUCUACACAAAGCCCUACACCAUCAUCUAUUCCUCCAUCAAGCUCUGCCCCAUCAUCACAGACAUUAACUAGUACACUACCAUCUCCACCUCCAGAAACCCUUAUAUCUAAACCUACCUCAACCUCUACCCCACCAGCUUCAGCUACAUCAACCUUUCAUGCAUCUAAUUCAUUUACAUCUGUCUCCACCCCAUUACCUCCACCAACUACAACUUCCACAUCAACACCUUCAAUUGAAAGAACCCUUACAGCUCCAUCUACCUCAAAUUCUACCCCAACACCUAGAGCAGCAUUUACUGCUCUGUCUUCAACCACCACAACAUUUUCAACAACACCCACCCUGUUACUGACAGGCUCACCUAGUACAAUACCUUCUACAACAUUCAGUACACCACCUUCGACACUCCCAAACACAACACCUUCAGCCACAUUUACCCAACCACCUUUAACAUCUCCUAACACAACACUUCCAGCUACAUCCAUCACACCACCUCCAACAUCUCCUAACACAACAUCUACCAACCCAAUGCUUUCAGUCACAUCCACCACACCACCUUCAACAUCUCUCAGUAUAACUUAUCCAAACACAAAGAUUUUAAGCACUCAUACGACAGCACUUUUAGCAUCUCCUAACACAACAUCUCCCAACACCACAUUUUCAACCAUGUUCACUUUACCACCUUCAACAUCUCCCAACAUAAAUGUUUCAACCACGUUCACUUCAUCACCUUUAACAUUUCCCAACACAACAUCUCCCAACAUAAAUGUUUCAACCACGUUCACUUCACCACCUUUAAUAUUUCCCAACACAACAUCUCCCAACAUAAAUGUUUCAACCACGUUCACUUCACCACCUUUAACAUUUCCCAACACAACAUCUCCCAACAUAAAUGUUUCAACCAUGUUCACUUCACCACCUUUAAUAUUUCCCAACACAACAUCUCCCAACAUAAAUGUUUCAACCACGUUCACUUCACCACCUUUAACAUUUCCCAACACAUCUCCCAACAUAAAUGUUUCAACCACGUUCACUUCACCACCUUUAACAUUUCCCAACACAACAUCUCCUAACAUAAAUGUUUCAACCACAUUCACUUCACCACCUUCAACAUUUCCCAACACAACAUCUCCUAACAUAAAUGUUUCAACCACGUUCACUUCACCACCUUCAACAUUUCCCAACACAACAUCUCCUAACAUAAAUGUUUCAACCACAUUCACUUCACCACCUUCAACAUUUCCCAACACAACAUCUCCUAACAUAAAUGUUUCAACCACGUUCACUUCGCCACCUUCAACAUCUCCCAACACAACAUCUCCCAAUACAACUAUAUCCACCACGCUGCUGCCAGCUUCGCCCAACACGCUGCUUCCAGGCAUGUCAACAGCAACAACUCCAUCAAACAGUAAGAGUAGUACUGAAAUGUGGAGACCUGAUUUUUGUGCAAUACAUAGGUGGGUCAAUGAUUCCUUUGCUCAGCUAUAA